ACUGACAACUCCUCAACCAGAAGAAAAUAGGGUCACAACAGCCACGGUUGGGAGCUCAGAACCAACUGUUAAUGUGGAACAAAGUGAGGAAGAGCCCUUAUCUACUGGAACCAUUCCUUGUGAUAAAAAAGCACAACCAACACUGGUGUGCCCCCUCUGUCGGGGGCAGGUAAAAGAGUGGAUUACCAUGGAGCCUGCUCGUCGUUUUAUGAAUGCAAAAUCAAGAAGCUGUGCCUGUGAAACUUGUGAUUUUAGUGGCACCUAUUCUGAUCUUAGGAAACAUGCAAGACUUCAACACCCUCUUGUUCGACCAUCACAGGCUGAUCCAGAACGGCAACGAAAUUGGAGGUUGCUGGAGCGCCAAAGGGACCUUGGGGACUUGAUCAGCACGCUUCAUUCUUCAUUUGGAGAAGAGAGGGGUGAUGACAACAUUUUACCUAUUGACGAUGGUGGUUGGCUCACUGUAUUUUUUCUUAUAAGAGUGUUUCGACCUGGGUCAAGUCCGAGGAGUAGCAGCUGGUCUGGUACCUCAAGAGCGAGAGGGCAGCUGAAUUUCAGAAGGAGAUCUACCAGGCUUUGGGGGGAGACUCAUGAUGUGGAAACUGGGUCGUCUUCCAGAGAUGAGGACAAUGAUUCUUCAGAUGGUGGGUCAGACCCUUGGAGACGUAGUGAGCGCAUUCGGCGACGGACAACACCAGACCAUUUGUGAUUGAAGAACUUUUAUUCUGUAGGCAGAAAGGAUUGGAGUUCUUUGCU
rnacentral:misc_RNA from 1 species